UUUCCGUAGGUGAACCUGCGGAAGGAUCAUUAAAGAGAUCAUGCCCUCACGGGUAGACCUCCUACCCUUUGUUUACAAUACCGUUGUUGCCUUGGCGGGCCCGUUUGGCCCCGCGCUGAACAACCGGCCCCGGCUGGUCAGUGCCCGCCAGAGAACCGAAAACUCUGAAUUAAAUGUCGUCUGAGUACUAUGUAAUAGUUAAAACUUUCAACAACGGAUCUCUUGGUUCUG
rnacentral:misc_RNA from 1 species